rnacentral:rRNA from 1 species
UACGUAGGGUGCAAGCGUUAAUCGGAAUUACUGGGCGUAAAGCGCGCGUAGGCGGCUUUUCAAGUCGAUUGUGAAAAUCCCCCGGGCUUAACCUGGGAACUGCAUUUGUGACUGCAUCGCUGGAGUGCGGCAGAGGGGGAUGGAAUUCCGCGUGUAGCAGUGAAAUUCGUAGAUAUGGGGAGGAACACCGGUGGCGAAGGCGGCCAUCUGGACGGUAACUGACGCUGAGACGCGAAAGCGUGGGGAGCAAACAGG